UUUCGCUCUUCAACGAGGAAUCCCUGGUAAGCACAAGUCAUCAGCUUGUGCUGAUUACGUCCCUGCCCUUUGUACACACCGCCCGUCGCUACUACCGAUUGAAUGGCUUAGUGAGACCUUCGGAUCGAUGUUCAUCGACUGUAAAAAGUUUUUGUUCGUUGAAAAGUUGGUCAAACUUGGUCAUUUAGAGGAAGUAAAAGUCGUAACAAGGUUUCCGUAGGUGAACCUGCGGAAGGAUCAUUAUCAAUCUUUUGCACGAAAAAAAUAAUAUUUUUUUUUCGUGCAUUAUGUAUUUAAAACCCACACUUUUUUUUAAAAAAAUGCAUUAUUAUUAUUUUUUUUACUUUUGUAAGUAAAUUAUAAGAUCACUUUCAACAACGGAUCUCUUGGUUCUCGCAUCGAUGAAGAACGUAGCGAAGUGCGAUAAGUAAUGUGAAUUGCAGAAUUCCGUGGAUCAUCGAAUUUUUGAACGCAAAUUGCACUCUUCUCUCGAAGAGUAUGCCUGUUUGAGGGUCGUAAAAAUAAAAAAAUCGAUAUAUAUGUCACCAUUUUUUUUUGUGUGGCAUUUCGGAAUUGGGCUAUCUUAAAUCUUGGUGUUUAAGUGGCUUAAAAUUGAUUAUCAUCAUGGUAUGAUUUUGAACGUAUUAAGAUUUUUUUAUUGCGUUUAAUUGAUAACCAAUAUUUUAUUAGGCGACUAUUGAUCAUAGCUUUCGUGCUUAUAAUUUAUGAAAUUUGACCUCAAAUCAGGUAGGAUUACCCGCUGAACUUAAGCAUAUCAAUAAGCGGAGGAAAAGAAAAUAACAAUGAUUCCCCUAGUAACGGCGAGCGAAGAGGGAAUAGCUCAAAUUUUAAAUCUGUUAGGUUUUACCUAACCGAGUUGUAAUUUGAAGAAGCGUUUUCCGCGUUUUCGGUUAACCCAAAUCCUUUGGGAUAAGGUAUCAUGGAGGGUGAGAAUCCCGUCCGGUUAAAUCGAGUCGCUUUACGAUACGCUUUCUAAGAGUCGAGUUGUUUGGGAUUGCAGCUCAAAAUGGGAGGUAAAUUUCCCCUAAGGCUAAAUACAGGCGAGAGACCGAUAGCGAACAAGUACCGUGAGGGAAAGAUGAAAAGAACUUUGAAAAGAGAGUUAAACAGUACGUGAAAUUGUUGAAAGGGAAACGAUUAAAGUCAGUCAUACUGACGGGGAAUCAACCUUUUUGAGCGUGUAUUCGUGGGACUCAAAAAGAUUUUUGUGCUCAUGACAUUCGCGUUUAUUUGGUGCACUUUCUCGUGUUGUAGGUUAGCAUCGGUUUUUGACCGUUAUAAAAUGAUUGAAGGAAUGUAGCUUCGAUUUCGGUUGAAGUGUUAUAACCUUUGGUAGAUGUAACGGUUAGGACCGAGGAUUGCAACGGAUGCCCCUAUCGGGCUAUUCGUCUGGCCUCUGAUACGUCACUUUGGCGUCGAAAGCUUGCUUACGAUGUUAAAGCGUGCGGUUAAAAGGUUAGAACGGAUUAAAUUCGUUAAGGAUGCUGACGUAAUGGCUUUAAACGACCCGUCUUGAAACACGGACCAAGGAGUCUAACAUGUGUGCGAGUGUUU
rnacentral:rRNA from 1 species